rnacentral:tRNA from 1 species
GGCUCCGUAGCUCAACUGGUCAGAGCAUCUGACUCUUAAUCAGAGGGUUCUCGGUUCGAGUCCGAGCGGAGCCAC